AACACUGUGCCAGAUAAUUGGGUUUCUUUGAUGUGGAAAAGCAUGUGGGUUAUAGUCCUUCUGGUGUUA
rnacentral:tRNA from 1 species